GCGCCGGUAGCUUAGACGGCAGAGCUGUGGGACGACCGUGGGGUCUCGGGUUCAAGCCCCGGCCGACGCU